rnacentral:rRNA from 1 species
GAUCGGUCUUNUCNAGGCCAGACUGNGGAAUUCGUUCCAUCAAUUGAAGGCGCAGAGAAAUCAAAUCAUGUGAUCAUUGGGACAAUACCAGUUCCUUUGCGCAACAUGUGCCUGCUCGUAUAGCAAUGUUAGCAAUAACUUGCUGGGCGGAGCAAAGAGAUGCCUGAUUGGUACCCGAAAGAUGGUGAACUAUGCCUGGGCAAAUUGAAGCCAGAGGAAACUCUGGUGGAGGAUUGUAGCGAUUCUGACGUGCAAAUCGAUCGUCAGACCUGGGUAUAGGGGCGAAAGACUAAUCGAACCAUCUAGUAGCUGGGUUCCUUCCC